CCCCAAACAACAAAUUGACUUCUUGGACAUUUAUCAUGGUUUCCGGAGGCGGUCCCACUUGGAAAUCAUCACGCAUCUCAGAAGGGCUAGCGCUUUGGUUUCUAAUGAGAAGCUCCGGUGGCAUCUGGAGGACCUGUGUACCAAGGUGCAGAAUGGCACCCACCCAACGGCACAGGACAUCCUGGCUCUCAGAGACUGCUUCUCUACCUAUCCCUUGGGCUUCAGCCAGCUCCAGGCUUCUCAAAUGAGCCUUGAGCCAGGCCAUGCUGCUCACACCUUACCUGCCCCCGCCUUUGCUGAGGUGGCGUCUGAAGAGCCACACCGCUGUGAUUCACCAGCUGGACCGGGCUCUGGCAAAGCUGGGGACUGGUCACCUGACUCCGCAGGAAGUGAGAUCGGCUUGCUAUCUUCGUGGCUUGAACUCUACCCACACCUCUGAUGACAGGUGUCGAACUUGGCUGGGAGAAUGGCUGCACAUCUCCUGCAGCCUAAAAGAAGCUGAGCUGUCUCUCUUGCUGCACAACGUGGUCCUGCUCUCCACCAACUACCUUGAGACAAGGCGCUGAGUGAACCGUGGGAAGGAUGGCAUUGUCCUGCAGUCGCAUAGUGUAGCGGUGUGGGACCAGGGAGCACGUGCCAGCUGACUGUGCGCACCACUAGCAUGGGAGGCUGGCAGAGGAGCACGCUACCCAUCCGGGAGCUAUAGACAUUCCCUCACUGCUUGAGCCUAACCAACCCGUGUGUGCUGCCGUCCCCUUAUUAACCUGGAACUGGCAAGCACCUCUGGUCACGUAGUACCUAGGUCCUACACAGUCGGCAUUUGCCCAGGUGGGAAUCAUGUGGCCUCAAAUUCACAACUGCCAUGGGCUUUUUUGUUUUUUUGAGCAGGGCAGUUUUCCUGAGACCCUGUGUCUCAUGAAGCUGAGGAUGACCUUGAAGUCUGGUUUUUCCUUCUUCCACCUUGAAGGGGUUAGAACACAGAGAUCUCUGGUGCCAAGAAUAGUGCUGCUUACCCUGGAGUGAGGACACCUGUGCCUGGCCCUGCACCAACGCCCUGGCAGUGUUUUUUUCUUACACCCUCUCCCUAUUCCUUUCUUGGCCCUUUGGAGACAGUCUUACUAUGUAACCCAGGCUGGCCUUCGAUUCCUGGCAAUGCUGACAGACACUUCUGCCUCAGCCUCCUGGGGACUGAGAAUAUAAGCCACACCCAUCCUUUCUGGUGAGACCAAAAUUAGGGAUGCUUUUCCUGUCACUAGCAUGGACUAACUUCCACCGCCCCUUUGGUAUUCUCUGGACACUUGUUUUUUAUUAACUUAUGGGAACAUUCUCAAGGAGAAGGUGAGAAAGAAUGGCUGCUUGGUCCCUCCCUGCAUUCAUCCCCAGUGUCUUAAUUUCCAGGCUGUCACCACCCUAAGGACCUUACAUGUUUGCUACCUCCACUGUGUUGCAGCGAGCCACCUGUAACCAGCAGUGGCUGCCUUUAUUUAGGCUGUGGGUCAGAACGCACAGGUACUAAUUACUGCCCAGCCCGGGAGACCAGAUUGCAUUGAGAUAGUGAGUUGGGCUUAACUGUUGUGUGUACAUCUAUGUCCUGUAGUUCUGUAAUAACUUGCUGUAAAUGCAUGAAGCACUAUCUUUAAACCCAAGUAAAGACUGCCUGAAACCAGUUUUUGGGAAUUACUUAUGCACACUCUACUCACUUUCCUAAGGCUUCUUUCGUAACAGUGACGUAACCUGACUAAUGGGUGUUUAACCGGUGGGAACAGAGCUCUCUGACGGAAUGGAAGAAGUGUUUAAGGAUCAGACAUGCUAGAAUGGUAACCAGGGUUAGAGGAAAGCGCAGCCACAGACAUCAGGGGUCUAACAGGCCAAGUCUGUCUGAGUAAAGGGGAACAUGAGGAGGUCUCACAGGACAGGAGUUUGGAGGCAAUGGUUUGCAUUUCAGUCACAAAAUAUUCCUAUCACUGACUUAGCCUGUCUAGGGUAGCUCUGCAUACAGAGCAAGGGAAGCACCUUCCUCUCACUGCAGUAAGGUAAAGAACCCCACACCACUCUCCAAUAUUUCUUUAAUAUUACAUUUAAAUAUCUCUUUAAAUACAGCAUUAUUACAAUGU
rnacentral:lncRNA from 1 species